UACAGAGGUCCCAAGCGUUGUUCGGAUUCAUUGGGCGUAAAGGGCGCGUAGGCGGCUCGGCACGUCCGUUGUGAAAUCGCCCGGCUCAACUGGGCGGGGUCAGCGGAUACGGUCGAGCUUGAGCAAGCUAGGGGGCAAUGGAAUUCCCGGUGUAGUGGUGGAAUGCGUAGAUAUCGGGAGGAACACCAGUGGCGAAGGCGGUUGCCUGGGGCUUUGCUGACGCUGAUGCGCGAAAGCGUGGGAGCGAGUCCGG
rnacentral:rRNA from 1 species